CCUACGGGAGGCAGCAGUAGGGAAUAUUGCUCAAUGGGGGAAACCCUGAAGCAGCAACGCCGCGUGGAGGAUGAAGGUUUUCGGAUUGUAAACUUCUGUUCUUAGUGAAGAAGAAUGACGGUAGCUAAGGAGCAAGCCACGGCUAACUACGUGCCAGCAGCCGCGGUAAUACGUAGGUGGCAAGCGUUGUCCGGAAUUACUGGGUGUAAAGGGAGCGCAGGCGGGAAGCCAAGUCAGCUGUGAAAACUACGGGCUUAACUUGUAGACUGCAGUUGAAACUGGUUUUCUUGAGUGAAGUAGAGGUU
rnacentral:rRNA from 1 species